CCUACGGGAGGCAGCAGUAGGGAAUCUUCCACAAUGGGCGAAAGCCUGAUGGAGCAACGCCGCGUGGGUGAAGAAGGUCUUCGGAUCGUAAAACCCUGUUGUUAGAGAAGAAAGUGCGGGAGAGUAACUGUUCACGUUUCGACGGUAUCUAACCAGAAAGCCACGGCUAACUACGUGCCAGCAGCCGCGGGAAUACGUAGGUGGCAAGCGUUAUCCGGAUUGAUUGGGCGUAAAGGGAACGCAGGCGGUCAUUUAAGUCUGAUGUGAAAGCCUUCGGCUUAACCGGAGUAGUGCAUUGGAAACUGGGAGACUUGAGUGCAGAAGAGGAGAGUGGAACUCCAUGUGUAGCGGUGAAAUGCGUAGAUAUAUGGAAGAACACCAGUGGCGAAAGCGGCUCUCUGGUCUGUAACUGACGCUGAGGUUCGAAAGCGUGGGUAGCAAACAGGAUUAGAUACCCGGGUAGUC
rnacentral:rRNA from 1 species